rnacentral:rRNA from 2 species
GGCUUCCGGAGCUAACGCGUUAAGUCGACCGCCUGGGGAGUACGGCCGCAAGGUUAAAACUCAAAUGAAUUGACGGGGGCCCGCACAAGCGGUGGAGCAUGUGGUUUAAUUCGAUGCAACGCGAAGAACCUUACCUACUCUUGACAUCCAGAGAAUUUAGCAGAGAUGCUUUGGUGCCUUCGGGAACUCUGAGACAGGUGCUGCAUGGCUGUCGUCAGCUCGUGUUGUGAAAUGUUGGGUUAAGUCCCGCAACGAGCGCAACCCUUAUCCUUUGUUGCCAGCGAUUCGGUCGGGAACUCAAAGGAGACUGCCGGUGAUAAACCGGAGGAAGGUGGGGAUGACGUCAAGUCAUCAUGGCCCUUACGAGUAGGGCUACACACGUGCUACAAUGGCGCAUACAAAGAGAAGCGACCUCGCGAGAGCAAGCGGACCUCAUAAAGUGCGUCGUAGUCCGGAUCGGAGUCUGCAACUCGACUCCGUGAAGUCGGAAUCGCUAGUAAUCGUGGAUCAGAAUGCCACGGUGAAUACGUUCCCGGGCCUUGUACACACCGCCCGUCACACCAUGGGAGUGG